AACGCGAAGAACCUUACCAGGUCUUGACAUCCUUUGCCACUUCUAGAGAUAGAAGGUUCCCCUUCGGGGGACAAAGUGACAGGUGGUGCAUGGUUGUCGUCAGCUCGUGUCGUGAGAUGUUGGGUUAAGUCCCGCAACGAGCGCAACCCUUGAUCUUAGUUGCCAGCAUUCAGUUGGGCACUCUAAGGUGACUGCCGGUGACAAACCGGAGGAAGGUGGGGAUGACGUCAAAUCAUCAUGCCCCUUAUGACCUGGGCUACACACGUGCUACAAUGGAUGGUACAAAGGGCUGCGAGACCGCGAGGUUUAGCCAAUCCCAUAAAACCAUUCUCAGUUCGGAUUGCAGGCUGCAACUCGCCUGCAUGAAGCUGGAAUCGCUAGUAAUCGCGGAUCAGCAUGCCGCGGUGAAUACGUUCCCGGGCCUUGUACACACCG
rnacentral:rRNA from 1 species